GUGACCUGAAGAUAAGCUGUAUCAGCCUUCAAGAAGGUACAAAAAAGACUUUCAUGUAGAAGGUGAAGAAAUACGGUUUUACUAGACCUCUGUGAGUGAAAUCACCCAGAUUCUCUUAUGCUAGGACAUACUAUCUGACAGAUGUGUACAGCAUGCUCAUCUGUCUGGAACCUCUGAAUUCUUCAUCAACAAGACUGACAGAUAACAGUUCUGACCAGCUUGGCGAGUGCUAUGCAAAAGCUUGUGACUUGUGCUGCUGCUGGAACAUGGGAGGGCCUCUUAUCUGAACAAUUUCUAGUUGAGUUUGUAAUCCUUACUGCCUGAAAGGGACAACUGGUCAAGACAAGCUCCCUGAAGCCGGCUUUCACAGGAACACAUUUGAGUCACUGACACUUCAAAAUAUGAACAGACGGAACACCACAGUGUCAGGGUUGGCUGUGUUCAUCUGGGAAAGCCCUGCCUCUACAAACCUGACCUAACCUGACCUAACCAAACAUGAGAGUGGCUGAAUAACCUGCUAAUAAGUACAAAGAACUGUGUUUUUACAAAUACACAUUUACUUGACAAAUGAGCAAAGAUCCAGCGUAACAUCGAAGGAGUGCUUUCCACCAUUGCUGUAGAUAGAGCAGAUAUGUGCACCAUGUGAUAUUUCCCAAUGUAAAUGUUUUCCCAAAAUCGACAGAACUGCAUUCCCCUCCCCCCCCCCCCCCAGUCUCUAUAGGAAGAGGCUGUGGCCUUGCAGUUCUCAUUGCUUAAGUGGGUGGUGUAGGUGAUCCUGCUCUGUUGUGGCUGUGGAGGAUGGAGCUCUGUGGUCAGUUCUUUCCAGUUGCAUUUUUUUGUUCUCUUUCUGGCAGCGCUGUGCUAUUCUGCCUUGUACAUGGCAGUCACUUAACAGUCUCUUUAUCUUCAAGUUAAUUAAGAUCAGGGCUGGCUGAGCACUUUUCAAUUUAAAAUAAAGAGCAAAGGC
ensembl:lncRNA